rnacentral:rRNA from 1 species
GAUCAUGGCUCAGAUUGAACGCUGGCGGCAGGCCUAACACAUGCAAGUCGAGCGGCAGCGGGAAGUAGCUUGCUACUUUGCCGGCGAGCGGCGGACGGGUGAGUAAUGUCUGGGAAACUGCCUGAUGGAGGGGGAUAACUACUGGAAACGGUAGCUAAUACCGCAUAACGUCGCAAGACCAAAGAGGGGGACCUUCGGGCCUCUUGCCAUCAGAUGUGCCCAGAUGGGAUUAGCUAGUAGGUGGGGUAAUGGCUCACCUAGGCGACGAUCCCUAGCUGGUCUGAGAGGAUGACCAGCCACACUGGAACUGAGACACGGUCCAGACUCCUACGGGAGGCAGCAGUGGGG